rnacentral:rRNA from 1 species
UGGGGAAUAUUGGACAAUGGGGGAAACCCUGAUCCAGGGAUACCGUGUGGGUGAUGAAGGUCUUAGGAUUGUAAAACCCUUUCGGCAGCUAAGAUGAUGACUAGCUGCAAAAGAAGCACCGGCUAACUCUGUGCCAGCAGCCGCGGUAAGUCAGGGGGUGCGAGCGUUGUUCGGAAUUAUUGGGCGUAAAGGGUGCGUAGGUGGUUAGGUAAGUCACAGAUGAAAUACCGGGGCUCAACUCCGGUGCUGUUUGUGAUACUGCCUCGACUAGAGAACGGGAGGGGUAAUUGGAAUUCCUAGUGGAGAGGUAAAAUUCUUUGAUAUUAGGAGGAACGCCAAAAGCGAAGGCAAAUUACUAGAACGUUUCUGACACUGAGGCACGAAAGCGUGGGGAGCAAACAG